rnacentral:rRNA from 1 species
GACGAACGCUGGCGGCGUGCCUAAUACAUGCAAGUAGAACGCAGUUGCGAACGGGUGAGUAACGCGUAGGUAACUGCCUCAUAGCGGGGGAUCACUAUUGGAAACGAUAGCUAAUACCGCAUACUGUGAGAUGGACCUGCGUUGUGUUAGCUAGUUGGUGAGGGAAAGGCUCACCAAGGGGACGAUACAUAGCCGACCUGGGAGGGGGAUCGGCGACGCUGGGACUGGGAGACCGGCCAGACUCCUACGGGGGGAAGCAGUAGGGUAUCAUGGGAGAUGGACGUAAGGCUGACCGAGCAACGCGGCGUGAGUUAAGAAGGUUUUCGGGUGGUAAAGAUCUGGUGUUAGAGAUGCGGUAACUAAACAGAAAGCGACGGCUAACUACGUGCCAGCAGCCGCGGUAAUUC